ensembl:lncRNA
GUGUGGAAAUUUUGGAAAAGCUAGGAGGCGUUUGACAAGUGAUUGGAGUGCCACUCAAGCACUACCACUCACAAAGUACAGAUCAUUGUACGUAGGUCACUCUGAAAGUAAUUUCUCCUAUUUAUUUCUCAAACUACAACAGACACAGAGAGCAUGAUAAUACUAUUCGAUAGAGCAAAUUCUCACCUACACACCUACACUAUUUUUCAACGUAGUCACCACUAUUAGCUGUGCAUUUUCGUCAGCAACGAACAGGAGCCUGCAUGCUAUGCUCAUAAAAAUCUGCACAAGCAGAGGUGACUGAUUGUUUUGUAGUGGCUAUGAUGGUGCCAUUGCUAGGAAAAUGUUGCCCAUGCAGUCCAAGUUUCACCAUCCUGAAUACAUGGAAGUCAGAAGGCAAUAAAUCCAGACUCUAUGGUGGGUGUGGUGGGGCAGUCCAGCCAAAACUGGCAAUGUGCUCCACAGUCUGCUAACUGGUAUGAGGCCUGGUGUUACCAUGUUGCAAGAGAAAGGUUGUCUUUCUCUCUUUCCUGACUCUAGAAAUUCAAGCCUUCAACUCAGACAGUGCUGUGAUGUAGUUGAUGGUUUGCCUGGGUUCCAGGGAAGCCAGAACGAUCACCCCUUUCCUAACCCAAAAGACAGUGCACAUCACUUUAUGCACUGAGAGCUGCAUCUUGAACUUUUUUUGAUGAGGAAUUUUCAUCACCACUUCAUGGACUGCUGUUUUGAAUCCACUCUGUAGUGGUGACACUACAUCUCAUCACAAGUAAUGAUGCAAUCCAGGAAACUGCCCCAGCCUUGUGUUUCUUCAAUAGGUGCAAAUGAUGUUCUUUCUGUUCCUAUUUGAUCAUUUGUGGGACCCAUGUGGCACAAGCUUAGCAGUAUUUCAGCAUUACUGCCAUCAUUUCCAGUGCACUGAAGCUCCAUACACAGUUCCCUGGUUGUAAUAGCCUGAUUCACACAGAGGAGCUGAUUGAGACGCUUUGCAUAGCUGUCUGGAACAUGGCUUAUAUUUCAUGUCACUGUCCACUGCUGAAACGGACCACCCACCACCUCACUGUGCUCAUGUCCACUGUCGGGUCUCCAAAAGCAUUCAGCAACUGUCAGUGAAGGUAAAUGGGCAUCAGUUUUCCCAGGUGGAUGAAUUCGUCUGCACUUCCAUGUCAGAUGGCAUUUUGUCAGACUGCUCCUCUGCUGCCAUCUGUCACACGGCAACAAAAUGCACUGGAAUAUAGGUGGGAAGGUUCAACCUCUACUGCCAUAACACCAGCAUCCACCAACAUAAUAAAAAGGAGUUCAAAUAAAUGAACAUCAUGUAGGGCAGUUUAUCUGCCUUGUUGCUUCGAAGGCUGGAGCUUCCUUUCCUGCCCCUCAAAUGUGUCUCUAUGGUCACAUGAUGUGCUUUGUUAUUAAAAGCAACAGUGGCUAUAUGUAUUUCCUGCGUAGCUAUAUGUAAUAGCUAAUGCUCUUUAAUUGGAUAUGGACUUUACGGAGGAAUAUCUACUGUGGUAUUCUGCCUUGAAGGCAUCCUGAAAGCAAGACGGCCUAUCACUAACAAGAGUAUAUCAGACCAAUUUCCUUCUAUCAGUCCAUUUUCUUUAGGCUGAAGUCUCCUAUCCUGCUGUUUUAAGGAAGCAAUAGGGCUCAUCUGCUUCUCUCAACAACAAAGGAAUAUUAGCUCAGGAAGGAUCAUUUACUCCAAUGAAUCUUUAUUGGACACUGCAGUGUCCCACUUUUAUAUCACGGAGAUAUGAUGCUGUAUAGCAACCUAUUAGGAAUGGCAAGUGUGGUUAAAUGAUAUCAAGUGGUUUGAGAAACAUAAGGGAAGAUGGAGAUGCUAAGACCAAGGAAGAUGCCAGAGGAAGGAUAAGAUGGAAUGAUGAACAGUUUCCAUGGAGUAAUAAGUCAUCUGUCUUAUGCAACUUAGUAGGUCAAGGAGCAGGAUGCUCCUCAGUGAAGACUAUAAAAAUUUGAACCUGGUACCUCUGCUAGGGCAAGGAGAAGAAAUGCCACGGGGAGACUACUGAAAACCAGCAGUAACAGUUUGCUGGCUGAAAGCAUCAGAGAUAGCACAGAAACAGGGGCCGAGGAGAAGUGCAGACUACAUGGUGAAAGUAAUCAAAGCAUGACAGCUCCUGAAGGAUACAGAAAGCUUAGUUCUAUUUAUUUAUUUAUUCAUUCAUUUUAUUGUUAUUUUUAUUUUUAACGUAAAAUGAAGGAGGGAAGAAAGGACUAAGAUUCCAGGUAGGUCCCAAACUAAUGUCUGGAGAUCCUCUCCCGGUAUCACUUGAUCUCUGAGGAGGUUUGAUGGGUAAAAAGAAUGCCUCCUCCCUGCUCCUUGUCCCCAUACUAUUGCUCCUGUUCUCAGUCUCUGAAGCUGGCUACCAUUGGGCAGUGCAGCUGACAAUGUAGCUCAUCUGCCUCAAGGUGUUCAUUCUCCACUUCUUUCAGCUUUGUGACUGAAAUAGCCUGUCCUGAAAUCAUUAUUAACCCUGAGAAGUGUGUGGUACUAUAGAAACAGUAAUGUGAGAAACAAAGCUACACAUUUAUCCUUAUUGGUGUAGUUAAUUAGAAAACAAAACAAACAACAGACCUUCAUCCGCCAAUGGGAAUCCAAGUCUUCAGUAAUUCUUGGAUUAAGCACUGAGUACCUUUUCAGCAAGGAUAUUCUUUUUGACUACUAAAAGUUAAGUGCUUCAGUGAAUUAUUUCCAAAAUGUGGUCUUGAGAAAUAUUUACUUUAUGUAUGAAACACCUGUGAACUGUACCUCUCCAAACAAUUAGGGUGUUUAGUCAUACAACUAUUGCACACAAGUAACAGGAUACUGACAAGACUAAUGGAAAAGGUUUUAUCAAAAUGACUUUUUUGUUGCUUGAAAGGCAGGAAAUUAUAGCAAGGGCCACAAAGAAGAAAAUUAUAUGUUGUCACCAUUUAUUUUACUCAGGAGUUGUAUUUUUCCAUGCUUAGUGUAGCAGCAAAUCCUAAGAAAAGAGCUACAUACAGACACUGCAUAAUUCCAGAUAAAGGUACACUCUGAUCUUCAAGGAAAAGUCUGAAAUACUGAACCUUUAUGACCUCUUAUUUCCUUGUGAGCAUCUGAGUGAUUGUGUCUAGAUCAGCCACAGAGCAUGCUUGCAUUUUUUCAGGACCUCAGACACGAAACAGCACUUCUGUAUGACAGAGGGAAAGCACUCAGGCAAGCACCAUUAAUCUACCAAAAAGUACUGUGAAUGGUGAAGCGAACUUCAGAAAUUAUACAGUUGGUUCUACAACUCUGUCUCUGGAAAGUUAGCCAAAAUAGAACAAAGUGACAGUUUGCACCUUCAGGUGUACAGGGUCUCCUGCGUAGCAACUCGUUACCCUUGAAGAGUUGUUGCAGAACGCAUGAGGAGUUGAGAGAAGUCUCUGAGAGGCUGGAAGACAGCAUGGACAUGCAAGUUGGGAUGAAAACCACAUCCUGAACUCCCAAAAAAAGAAAGUUGAGAAAGCUACAAGGAAGCUCCUUUCAUCUGUAGAUCCUUUGAGGAGAUUUGUACUGUGUGUACUCACACAGUGCAUGUUGAACAGACAACUAAGAUGCCAGCUCUAAAAAUGUUCCUUCCUAUUCUGUAUCAUUAAGCUAUUGCUAAAUAAUCUAGUAAUUCUCCUGAAAUAUGGCAUGCAGUACAGGAAAGCAAGCUCUCAAAGUCCCUUGUUAUCAUUUCACCAAAGCUCAGAAAAGAGCCCCCAAGGAAGCAGGAUGCCUGAGCUCUGACCCUGCUGGAGCAGAGUGGAGAGACUGAGCAGUGGUUGAGUCACCCCAUUUGAAAACAAAUCUAUAUCUAAUUAGUGAAUCCUUGCAAUAGCCCUGGGAGGUAUAUAAAUAUUGCUGCUCUGUUUUACAGGAAACUGAGAUGGAAGGGGAUGAAUUCUUCUGUGUUAUAAAAAAUGCCAUUAACCAGUUAAAUGAAGGCAAAUUAGCUACUGAUGUGCUUUGAUUGUGCCUUAUAAAGCACAACUUACACCCCACCUGAUUACAAUUUCAGCUUACAUGCUCAUAUUACAGAGUAUUUUUUGUAUUUACUUUUUUUAACCAGUAUUUACCUUUUUUUUGAUCCAGUUCUUUACAUUUUGUUAACUUUCACAGCCUACUAACAGUGGGAGUGUUCUCCGAUCAAAGGAAAAUCACUGACUUGCUGGUAACUAGGUAUCCAUUCACUCCUAAUUCCAGGGAAGUAUGUAAUGCAAGAUGAAAUAAAUAGCAUCUCAACAUAGCACAGCAGAACAAGCAAGGUGCAAAUCUAGGUACACUGGUAAUGUUUAUGAGUGGAGGAUGGAGGGAGUUUUCCUUGUCUCCUUGUGGAGCUGAAAAUAAAAACAAUAUCAAUACAAUAAGUAACGUGGAGGAAAAUUUUUGUGCUCUGAAUAAUAUUGGACUCAUCGGUCUCUUCUUGGUUGAUUGUGAAUUUGGCUGAUCAACUUACUGAGUGAUCAUUUGAGCAUUUUAAAAUAUAUUUCUUUUAGCAAGCAAAAUAAUAUUAUCUGUUGGUGAUUCUGUAAUCAGAUUUGAUAAGAACCACAACACUUUGCUGUUAAGAUGACAGUGCUGCAUAUAUAAUCAUACGAGAAUACCAUGUGUUUCUUGCCACUGCUCAGUCCAGAACACCAUAUUUUCUUGCACUCUCUGCCUUCAUUAUUUAGUAAAAAGAAUUUUUUUCCUUUGAGUGGAUUUCACUUGAAUAUAACCAGAAGACUCACAACUGAUUUUGAACAUCUUGAAGGAACGUAUUAGGCAAAUAAAGUGCACUUUGGGGUUUCCAUAUUGCUGAGUUGAAAGGAAGACAUUUUCAAAUUGGUACAUGCUUGGGAAUGCUAAUGAGCAGUCUUGGAUAUAUGUCUAAAGAGAGAAGUUAGAAUGCUAGUGGGUAGUCAUCUUCUGCAGGCUGUCUGCCUAACACUAGAUAAAAAAAAUAUUUUGAUUGAAAAAGCUUCUUCCUCUGUACAGGGUUUUUCUCUUCCUUUUCCUUUUUAUUUUUAUUUUUUUAAUUUUCCUUUAGUUAAAAAACAAACAAACAAACAAAAAUUUUAAUCUUCCUUGCCCCUUUUUUUUUUCCUUUGAACUAGUAAUUGGGAAAUAACCCCACAUAUUUUUAAAUAUUCGUAUAUAUAUCUGAUACCAUUGACGUUUCCUCCCAUGCAUAUGGUCCAGUCUGUCUUAUUACUUUUUCUAUCUUUAAGAUAAAGACCUUUAAGACCUGAUGACAGCUCAUCACCACUAGUAAAUCCCUGAGCUUUACUAGUGUUAUGCUGGAGGUUCUUCCAGGCCUGAAGUACUCUAUAUAUUUGCCUCCCUCAAAAUGAUGCUAUCAACCUGUAAGACAAAGAACAUCCUAAGAUGCCAAUUGGAAAAGCCUAAAUGUUUACUGGCAAUAUGUCUCUUUUAGAACCUUUAUAGGUGAAUUAUAUGCAGAUAUAUAGAUAGAGGUUUUAUUGAUGCAUCUAUAUAAUCAAUGUUAUGAAAAGAUAGGGUCCAAAUAUCAGACUGUAAGAGAAAAAAAAAAUGAAGAUGUCAGCAUGGAAAAAAUGAUAGGAAGAUUUAAAAAUAUUUAUAAAACAGGAAAGAGAGGAUUAAUUAAGAGCAUGGAGAUUUUCCAUUAUCUUUAUUAAAGGAGUUUAUAUUGAUCCAACAUUGGGAAAAAUAUAAAUGGACAAAAAAAAAAACCAAAAAAAAACUGCUGAGUGAACAAUGAAAUUAUAGUUUCUUAGUUCUGGACCAUCAAAAAGAAAAACCGGUAUCAUCCAAGGUUAAAAGUGACGUAAAACUCCUAAGUGGCCAUAACUGUCCAAACAGGAAGGAAUGAUGGAGUAGUUCAAUUACACCGAACAUAAAUUAAAUACAUUUGUCAACGAAUUCUAAUGGCAAGAUACAGUGACUUUUAUGCAAGUGAAGUCUCCAGAAGUAACUUUUCAUAUAGAUUGACUAGAAGUUUGAGCAGUAUUCAUUAUGUGGAGGAAUCUUUCAGAAGGCAGUAUCACCUUGUAGUUUUCCUACAAUAGGCAUCGUAAUGAGAACCAUCCAUUCUUUUAAAUAGAGCACCCAUACUUUGCUUUCAACAAAAUGGUUAUCUCAUUAUUUUACACGAAUUGUUUCCAAACUUUAUUUCUUUGUAUAAAAAAAUAUAUAUCUGUUAUAUAUUAUGUAGUUGAAUAUGAUUUUACCAUUAGAGAUCUAUACAUCUGGUAUUGCCUUCCUGAAAUCUGUUUUAGUCAUAAUAUAAAUGGUCAUGUUAAACAGUCUUUUGAAAAUGAUCAUGGUAAUGCAUCUAACUUUAUUGAAGUUGUCUUAUGAAGUUAAAAUUAUUUGCUAGUCUCUUUUCAGCCCAGAAAACAAGUUUCUUCUGUAAUCAUUCCAUUACUUUUUAAAAGAGAUCUGACAAGCAUAAACAUUCUCCUUAUCAAACUCCUGAUUGAGAACUGAACUUCUGCACUGCCAGAUAGCCGCUUAUCUUCAACCAACAUAGCAUUCUAAAAAUGUAGCUGGUUGCAGUUAUUAAAAAUUACAUCUGCUGAAGUCUCAGCCCACAGAAUACACCAUAUUUUAUUACAAGACUAUGUCUUCUAGAAAGAUACUUCCUAGUUUAGGAACUGCUGUAUCACUGUUCAACUGUGAGAGUGUACAGGGUAUUGCAUACACCCACAUACAUAUCCAGGACCUCUUACCUAACUACAUUGUUUUUGUAACAUGAUUCUUCUGGUGACUGAAGAAAAGAGACAAUGAGAAUAAAGAAUGCAAAGGUAGAAAGUGUUGCUCUUGAAUUACAAACUAUCAUAGGAUUUCACAGGAAUAAUCUUUUAAAAUCGAGUUAUUGUAGCCUUAGUGCUCCAGUAGUGUUAAUGUGGUUUUAAAGUGUCAAAUACUCAAUUUAAAGGCAUCAAAUAUAAUGUAUUUGCAUCACUAAUUCAUGAUAACUACAGCUAAAACGGGAGACUUUAAGUUCUAAGUCAUAAGCAUCAGGAAUUACAUUUAGGAACAGUAGAAAGUUCAGAUUUCACCCCCUUCAAAGGUCAAAAAGAAAUAAAUAAAAUAAGACACAGCCCUGAACUUUUAUUAAAGCCAGAUCUUGCCUUUUUAUGGUAUUUUUACCUGAGAUCUGUACAAACAUUAAUAACACUAAGUUCUGUAAGCCUUUCAGUCUCCAUUUAACAGAUAGAAGAAGAGGAAUAGAAAAAGUUACUGUCUAAACUCCCAGUGGUACUACUUAGAUGCUACUAAGACAGCACUGCUUUGUUUGAAGUAUUACAGAAUAGCCCAAAUUCCCAAUAAAUUUAACAGAAAAGAUUAAUAAGCCAUUACUAAUGGAGGCAGAUCUGAAGUUACUGAAGAUGCACCCUUAGAAAUUAACCGUCAUGUGCAGUCCCUCACUGGCAAUAGGAGUGGGACUAGAAAGUUCUAUUUGAAUUUUUGUCUUAGAAUUCACACUGAGGAAUGAUUCAGCAUGUAACAAACAUUGGAACAGAUAGCGUACUCUCUGUAUAUACAAAGUAAAGAUUGAUUUGCAGUUUGGAUUUAGUUUGCUUAGUGCAAAAAUCAACUUAACCCAGAUUAUUCUGAAUAGUCAGCCUCUUUAAAGCCAAGCCAAAUUAGACUAACCUAGACAGCAGGUUAAGUCCAACAGCUUGUAUUGGCACUUUGUAAAAUGUCAGCGCAUUAAUUCCGCUCCUUAACUUAUAUACAGAGCUCUCUUAAAAACAUAUUUUUAUCUAGAUCAAUAAUGUACCUGAUAGAAAAAAACAACGACAAAAAACAAAACAAAACAAAACAAAAAAACCCACAUAUGUCUGUACCUUGCAACAGAAUACGCUGUAGGUACACUUCAGUUGUGUCAGAGCACAUAUAUACAUGUGAGUACAAAUGUAAGAAACACCAACUGCAUCAGAUGGAUGGCCUAUCUAGCCUAGUAUUCUGUCUGGCACAGGUAAAAUUACUUAGGAAGAAUAUGCAAACCCUACCAUUUCCACUGGUGGUCUCCCAGAACUCAAAAUAAUUCAGCGGGUGAUGCUAGAAGGUAUAUGUGUGAGUAUCCUGCUUUAGUUUCUGUUUAUGGAUAUUUGGCCAUGAAUUUACCAAAUUCUUUCAUGAACUUUAUGAGGGAACUGGGAUUGUUUGGACUGGAGAAGAGGAGGCUCAAGGAAGACCUUAUUGCUCUUUACAACUGCUUGAAAGGAGGUUGUGAUGAGGUGGGGUUGGCCUCUUCUCCCACAUAAGUAGCAAUACAACUAAAGAGAACAACCUCAAGUUGCACCGGGGAAGAUUCAGAUUGGAUAUUAAGAAAAAUGUCAUCUAAAGAGUGGUCAGGUGCUGGAAUGGGCUGCCCAGGGAGGUAGUGGAGUCAUCAUCCCUGGAGGUGUUCAAGAAAUGUUUAGACGUUGAACAAAGAGUCAUGGUUUAGUGGGGAAAUGGUGAUGGUAGGUGAACAGUUGAGUUAAAUAAUCUCAGAGGCCUUCUUCAACCUUGGACAUAAAUUACCCGAAAAGGUAAUUUCUUUUAUUUACCAGAUCCCAGUGUAAUGCAGAUAAUUUAUCAGAUCCCAGUUUAAUGCAGAUAAUUCCCUCAGUAUUUCCAUAGCCUCCCUCAACAUUCUCAUGAGUUUCAAAUAAGAGAUCAGGAGCACCUUAAGAAUGGUAGAUAGGCCAAAGUGCUAGUGGUGUAUAUUUUAUUGAAGCAUUGGCUUUAAUGUCAGUUUACCAGUUCAUUUUUCCCAAAGCUGUUUUUCACUAGAGUAUAAUAAUUUUGAUCUCUUCAUACUGUCACGGCUUCUUGGUGAAUCUUGAAAAUAUCACAAGGCUAAAUGAGAUCUUAGUUUACCUUUAAAUAGAUUCAAGCAUCUCUAAGACAAAUGUUGUUUAAAUGUGGAGCAGAAAAGGUCUCUGGAAAAAAUAUUUGGAUCUCUGCUGAAGCCACAGCAAGGUUUUCCAUUUCUCCAUUAAUUCAGUAUUCAAGUGCCAGAUUGAAAAUGACUCUUGCUUUCCCUCACAAGGACUACUUUAAAAUGAAAAUGACACUAAAGUACAAGGCAGUAAUUUAUCUCAGGGUGUCUGCUACAUUUUAAUCCUAUUUAUGUCUCUCUUUUCUCCUAUUUACACCAUUCUUCAGUGGCUUUCAUAUGUUUCCCUAAGGUUGUUCACAUCAUGAAAUUUCUGUGGUCUACAUGCAGGGCAAAAGUAUUCAAAGGUAGAUGAAUGUGGAAACCAGAAGUGUUGUCUAUCUUACCUGACAUGCCUCAUGACUAUAGCAUUUAUAGAAGUUCAGCUAUAUCAACCAUACUUGGGAGUAAUAUCAUAGAAUUAGUACAGUGUAGCUCUUUCACAAUCUUGAGAAGUAGUGGACUGUUCCUCAGCUCACAGCAGCACCUGUUGUAAAUAAAAUAGGAUCCUACUGAAGUACUGAAAUUUUAACAAUGUCUUAAUCUGUAGAGAAGAAUGCCCCUUUCCAGCACAAAGAGUAUAGAAACCCAAAUGUAAGUGGAGGAGAGAGCCUGUGGAAUAUGAUGUUGCAAGUUUUCCUCUUGAAACCCUCAGGAACUGUCUACCAUUCAGGCAAGCGUGUAAAUCCUUUCAUCUACAUAGCUUCAGUAGCCUCACUACCAUCUUAGUCUUCAAAACAGAAGUGAACAAAACAGGUCUUCAAAACAGAUCCACCUAUACACGUAUGAACAACACAAAUGAGCCAAAUCCUGUUGGAAGUUGUAGAUUUUCAGGACUUGACAUGAUGGUGCAAAACUUGUUAAUUCCUUACAUUUUUUUUCUCAUGAAUGACAUGAAAAUUUCUCUUACAUACUGCAGUUCUAAAAGAGUGCAAUACUUCUGAGAAGAGAAAGAACAGUUCUUCAGAUUUCUAGCUACUAGAAAAAUUGGAGAGGAAAGAUGCCAUUUUCUAUGAGAAAAGAAGGAUCAAAUCAUCAUUUCCACCAUUCCACAGGGGAAAUGGAAAAGUACAACAUCAGUGAAGCAUUCAUUCUGUACUGAACCACAAUUUGUUUUGCCAAACACUGUGCAGAACUUGAAACUCAAAAGCUGGAAAAACCAGUGCCCAGCACAUGCCUCCCUCCAAAUCUUAUAAGGAUAUUAUGAUAAAUUCAAUGUGGAAGUGCCAUUCUCAGUACUUUUUUGAGUAGGAAAAUUCCCAGAGGGAAAAGAAUAUAUAUAUAAGAAUAUAUGUAUACAGUGAGAGUCAGAUUAGAAAUCUUGUUGUCAGAAGGCAGGACAGAGAUUUCAGAUUGAUCUAGUGAAGGCUAGAGAGUUUCUCUGAGUUAAAGCUAAGGGAGAAAAAAAAAAAAAACAAGAAGAGAAAAAGCACACUAAAUUUACAUGGAGCUGUAGGAUGUAAAUCCAACCUACUUCAAUAGUUUUUGUAGACAGUCAUUUGGAAGAGGGAUGCUAUAGCCAAGAAUGCUUUAGUUUUGUGGGGGAAAAAAAAAAAAAAAAAAAAAGAGCAGCGUUGUUGUUGUUUCAGUUUGCAGUUGUUCUUAUUGUUUGUUUCGUUACCUUAACUCAGCACCAUGAUUGCUUCUAAAGAAAGAAAAUACGUUGGAAAAUCAUAUAAAAGCCACGUUGAUCUGGUCUGUUGUGCUUUCUUUAAAGGGACAGCUCCAUACUUGUUUGCUUUUUCUCCUGCUUCAUAAAUAUAUGAUGAUUUAAAAUGUGCAAUAUGAGGACAUUAAUAAGAAUUAUGUGUAGGAUAGAAGGGGGCAACAGGAGGCAGACCUCGCUGUGUAGAAACUGCUGAGUCUUAGGAAUACUUAGGGCCAUAUUUCUUUUCUGCUGUCACAGGUAACUGCUUGGAACUGUUCUCUCCUGAGGGUGCACAUAAGGCUGGCUUCAUUCUUUACUUACAAUCUAUAGCUAGAUAAGCUGGUAAAGGAAGUGAACCAAUUUUCAGUUAAUGACACUAAAACAAGACUGAGCCAAAAACAUAAAAGUUGUGCUUAGUCUUGAAUUUUUAUAAAAUUGAUUCAGAUAGUCUGACCUAAGCAUUGCUAUUAACAUAGCUGAAUUCAAGGAGCAUAUAUUCAAAGCAAACUUUGAUAUUGAAACUAAAUUAAAAUUGAUUUUGUAAUGGGAAAGCCUUGCAUUCCCUCCUUAGUUAAAAAUCUCACUUCAUACUAAGUAGUCUGGGUUUGACAAGUCAAGGAAAUAAAAUCAGUUAUUUGGGAUGGCAGGCAAGAUCAUCAUGAAGGAGAACUGUGUGGACACAAGAUUAUUGAUAACAAUAAAAAAAUGUAUCACACACAACAUACCAUUCUUUCCUUUGCAGUUGUGCCAUUGCUAGGCAACUGAAAAUGGAUGAGUAGAUUUUAGCUGUAUAUCUAUACCCUUCAUUUGGAGAAUCAUGAAAGGGACUUCUGAAAAACAAACAUCAUGUUUCUGAUCAGGAUCCAAUAUGGCUUUACUGCUACUGAGGACUAGAAAAUGUAUUAUUUCCAAUACUAUAAAUUUUGUUGAUAAACAUCACAGUAUACUUGUAAGACUUUUAAAACAAUGCAGCUUUCUGUUUAGUAACAGAAUAUUUUCUUAAGCAGAUUUUUAUGCUCUCAUUUUUUAUUCACCAUAUUGUAGUAUACAAGUUGUGUAUCCUAUACUUCAUGAAAUCACCAUUGGUGAGUAGAGAGCAUAGUUACUCAGCACUUAAGUUAAAAGUACUCAUAAAAUUUACUUCAGUUGGGACUGUUUGUAUUUCUAACAGGUGGUAACUCUUUUUGCUUAAGUAGGUAACUUAAUGACUUCUCUGUCAUUUAAGAUCUACUGCCAUUCAACACUCAUUACCUUUAAUACAUGCUUUAGCAAACAUUUAACUUCUUAGUUUUAACACUGUUGCAACAGUAAGGGAAGAAUGACUGCUACCAUAACGUUGGCAGUGGUUGAUAAUUUACACUUCCUCUAUAGCCUACUACCCCUUAAUAAAUAAAUAAAUAAAAAUAAAAGAAAGAAAUAAAGAGAGAAAUAAAAAAAAAAAAAAGGAAAGAGAAAGGAAAAAAAAAUCCACUCCCUUGAUAAUUAGUACCCUUUGUCAAAGCUUCAGUUACAAUUUGACGAGAAAAUAUUCCUAAAUGUCAAGAACCAUGCAGUCUGAUAAAUAUGGAUGACAUUUAAAAAGCAGAGGAGGUAGUUCUACAGAAGCAGAAGAAGCAAAAAGAAAUGCAAUAUGUAUUUACGGAAAGAAACAGUUUUUCCACCAUGUAUUCUCCUCAUAUAUUGACUGUUUUGUACUCCUGGUUCUUCUUUUCAAGAGCACUGUGAAGCUUUUGUCUCAUAUCAAAUGCCUUAGCUGCAUUUCUUCAUUAUAAAACAGCACAUUUCAACAGCCCAGGUCUUUCCACUUGUAAUCACUCAGUAUAAUUGAUUGAGAAGAUAGAGUCAGAGAAUCCUCCAAAUAUUUUAAUUCUUCAGAGUUGUUUAAAUUUAGCAAAAAAUGACACCCUGAGAAAAUGAAAUGGCACGUACUCAGAAAUUGCUAACUGUGAUAUAGAUCAAUCACAGCCCUUGGUGAUUACUCUUUAAACAAGUCUGUCUCACAAGCAGAUUCAAAGGAAUUGACCUUCUGAAUGUUAACAAACAGAAGGCAAGAUUCUCCACUUCUGACAACUUUAAAAUCUCUCUUGUUGGAAAAUCUGAAAGACAAAGCGUUUUUAGCAGGUGGAAUUAGAGAACUACGUUCUCCAUAUUUACCACUCUAGGGGUACAGGUAUUUUCAUUACUAAAGCCUUUGUUGGAACAAGACUCAUUAAGAAAGCUAUAAAAGAAUGGAAUAUUAUCGUGUAAUGAACACCUAAUUGAAAACUAAUGUGCAAUGAGAAAGAAAUAAACUUUGUGACGAUAGGAUUAGAAAUGUGUCUGACUACAAUGGCAGUAUUUGUAAGAUAGGAUGACAUGAAUUCAUCAUCUUCACUUCCAGAUCUAACAACCUCUCUGAUCUGAGAGCAUCAAGAAUGUAAAUGCAGUUAAACAACAAUUCCCCAUCUUAAACAACCAGCACUGAGAUUGUGCAGGUACUCCACCACUGUACUACUAUAGUUGCUUGGGUUUACUUGGGCAAUGGUAGUAGAAAAAAACAUAUCCUAUCCACUGUGUUAACUGUGAAGUAGAUGAACCAUACUUCCGGCUGGGUGUCUGAACUCUGUGAGGUUCCCUACUCUCUGAGCUACUCAACUAAGGCUACUUUUCUCAAACUUCUCAAACUGAACAAAAACCAUCCUGUAACACUGCGAAAAUGUGGUGGGAAAUUUUUCCCUGAAUCAAUUUCAUGAAGUUCCUAACUAUGUUUGACGUGUUUGUGAGGAUAAGAUUUAAAAAAAUACAUUUAUUUCAUAGUUAAUUUGAAUAUCAAACAAUGUAAAAUAAAUCUUGCUCAAAUUAC